rnacentral:rRNA from 1 species
AACGAACGCUGGCGGCAUGCCUAACACAUGCAAGUCGAACGCCCCGCAAGGGGAGUGGCGGACGGGUGAGUAACGCGCGGGAACGUGCCCUUUGGUACGGGAUAACUGAGGGAAACUUCAGCUAAUACCGUAUGUGCCCUACGGGGGAAAGAUUUAUCGCCAUUGGAGCGGCCCGCGUUGGAUUAGGUAGUUGGUGAGGUAAAGGCUCACCAAGCCUACGAUCCAUAGCUGGUCUGAGAGGACGAUCAGCCACACUGGGACUGAGACACGGCCCAGACUCCUACGGGAGGCAGCAGUAGGGAAUCUUGCGCAAUGGGCGAAAGCCUGACGCAGCCAUGCCGCGUGAAUGAUGAAGGUCUUAGGAUUGUAAAAUUCUUUCACCGGGGAAGAUAAUGACGGUACCCGGAGAAGAAGCCCCGGCUAACUUCGUGCCAGCCGCCGCAGUAAUAC